CACUAUGCCUAGCCUUAAACUUUGAUGAUAAUCUUACAACUAUCAUCCGCCUGGGAACUACGAGCAUUAGCUUAAAACCCAAAGGACUUGGCGGUGCUUUAGACCCACCUAGAGGAGCCUGUUCUAGAACCGAUAACCCCCGUUCAACCUCACCCUUCCUUGUUCUUCCCGCCUAUAUACCACCGUCGUCAGCUUACCCUGUGAAGGUUUAACAGUAAGCAAAACUGGCAGAGCCCAAAACGUCAGGUCGAGGUGUAGCGUAUGGAAGGGGAAGAAAUGGGCUACAUUCACUAACUCAGUGCACACGAAUGACACCCUGAAACACGUGUCUGAAGGAGGAUUUAGCAGUAAGCAGAAAAUAGAGCGUUCUACUGAAACUGGCCCUGAAGCGCGCACACACCGCCCGUCACUCUCCCCGAGCUAAGACUCAUCCAAUAAAUAAACACCUAUAACUGUAAAGGGGAGGCAAGUCGUAA
rnacentral:rRNA from 1 species